AUCCUUGAAAAUACAAAUAUAAAAUGCAAACUGCAGCGGAAGAAUUUAAAAUUCAUGCCAAACCAUCUAAUUCCUCCAUUCAAGUUCUUCUCGACGCUCAUCACAAAUCAAUCCUAAUUUACGGAAACUGAAUCACAAUAAACUAUAAUGAGUACGAAACUCAGUAAGUAAACCAGUUUUGCAUAUACCAAAAUACAUACAUACAUAUAUAUAUUGCAAAUUGUAAAACAAAUCAUCGAAAUCUCAUUCUGUCUUUCUCAAACUUUCACAUUCUCUUUCAAACCACUUACUUGAGCUACCUUCAUUCGAUUACCGCUUAGUAGGACACUCCCUUAACUUUCAUAACUUUCAUAACUUUUAUACUCUUUGGGCUUCUCGCCAAUGCGUCAUUCGCCCACUUAUCUCAUAACUAUAUAAACAUCUAGAGUGUCCUCUACUAAGCCAGUAACGAAUUCAAGCAUCCAAGCUAAAACUAUAAAACAAUUUUUCUUUCUACAAAUUCCAUUUGGCUAAAAUCCACUCUAUCAUUUUAUAGAAAACAUAAUGCAUUUCGUGCUCAUGCCAAUGAAAUAUUCACACAUACAUAUGCCCAUGUCCAUAAACACACAUAACACAUAACAACACAUCCUAUCAACACAUCACGUAAACACAUGGGCAAAGCAUAUAAAUCAAUAUCCGUAUAUAUCAAAAUAGACUUUUCAAACAUGUCAACAUAUAUAUUGUUUAUUGUGAUUCGUUUGGAAAUCUAGUUUACUUACCUCCUGGUAUCCUCGAGUAACAAAUGCACAUCAAUAUCAUCGGCCUAAAAAUAAAUAAAAAUACUCUCAUAAGAAUAAAAUUAAACCAUAAUCAUAAACUCCAAUAUUCUCAAAUUCCUCAAUAUAAUCAUAUUCCAUACUUAACCUCAAAUAAUUUUAAUUUAAAUCAUAAAUCAUCAAAAUACUCAUAAUUCUUAAAAUUACAAAAUUACCCUCAAAUAUCAAAAUUACCAAAAUACCCUCAAAUAUCAAAAUUACCAAAUUAACCUCAAAAUCACAAAUUACCAUCUUUAUCCUCAAUUUCAGCAAUUACUAAAAUACCCACAAAAUCUAAAAUUACAAAAUUGCCUUUAGACUGUGAAAUUACCGAAAUACCCUUGCCGGUCAACAGUCACCGAAAUUCAACCAACGGCGACAGGAAGCUCAGAACUGAAAGUUCAAGCCAUGCUGAGUCCAAUGGUGGCGG
rnacentral:lncRNA from 1 species